GCCUGCGACCAUACCACGUAGAAUGCUCCCGAUCCCGUUCGAUCUCGGAAGAUAAGCUACGUCGGGCCCGGUUAGUAUUUAGAUGGGCGACCGCUUGGGAACACCGGGUGUUGCCGGCU
rfam:Ramazzottius varieornatus DNA, contig: Scaffold003, strain: YOKOZTNA-1.